AGAGGCAAAGGCAGAGGAGAAAAAAGGAAGGAGGAAGUAACUUGUGGAAUGCUGAGAAAGCUACCACAUGUGAUGGAAAGAAUCCAAGUUAAACACUCUCACCAGAGCAUGCUCCAAGACAGAUGACUGAGCCCCAGGCUUGGCCAAUACAAUGCACUUCUAUUCUCUAUUUAUUUUUGUAGUUCAAAGACCUGGCAGUAACCCACUUGAUGCCUGCCAUAAGGACCAGUACACUCCUGAUUACUGCCCAGCGAUUUUAUAUCUGUAUGCCAGCUACUCAGACCACGUAUAAAGACUAGGGGGAUUUUUUGAAAGGAAAAGAAACCCCGGCUUCCACUUAUACUUUGAAAUUUCAGAUGAUGUACUGCCAACUUACAGACCUUGCUUUAAUCAGCAGCCACAUGAAAAGGCUGUUUCUAUUUACUCUAGGUCAUUUAGGAAACAAGCAAUAAGUAGGCCUUGCAAAAUUUCAGCUUCUCUUAAAGUUGGCAUGUUUUCCUCAAAUAGAGAGUUGAAUCUUGAUUUCAUUUUCUGAGUAGAAAUAUUUACAAUCCUGUCAUACAUGAAUUUUAGCCUUCCUUCUGUCUAACAACAAAUAGGCUUUUUAAAGAAUGCUUAGCGUUAAACUGGAGGCUGUUUUGUAAAGGUGGGUCUGUAUAGAUUUGAAUAAUGACUACGCUGCUUUACUGCUCUAGUUAAAAUUUCAUCAAAUACUGACUUUAGCUGGAAAAAGAUAAUUUAAGCCCAUCCUAUUUUAGUUUUAAAUUGUGUAUAUAUAAAAAGGUAAUCUUGCAGAACAUAAAGUAACAACUACAAUAUUCAGAAAUUCAUUAAUAUUAGAAAGAUAAAAAAUGAUUAGGGUACCAAUAUGUUCUUUGGUCCAUAAUGAAUUUCUUUUCUCUUGGUUGUUCAUACUAUUUUGAUUAUCAGUGUAAUGAAGAGAUUUUGUGUAGUCCUUAAUAUUGUGACAAAGUAUCAUAUUUGUAUUAUCAAUUUUUAAAAAAUAUUUUCUUCCUUUAUUAUGUAGAGUCAAUAUUACACCAUUUUCUGCUGUAAACUUGCAACUUGGUAUCUGACACUUCACACUUCACAAUUGUAAAAGCCUUACAACAAUACAAUUUCACUGAUACCCUCA
ensembl:lncRNA LINC02379 long intergenic non-protein coding RNA 2379